rnacentral:rRNA from 1 species
ACGGCAGCGCGGACUUCGGUCUGGCGGCGAGUGGCGAACGGGUGAGUAAUGUAUCGGAACGUGCCCAGUAGCGGGGGAUAACUACGCGAAAGCGUAGCUAAUACCGCAUACGCCCUUUUGGGGAAAGCGGGGGACCUUCGGGCCUCGCACUAUUGGAGCGGCCGAUAUCGGAUUAGCUAGUUGGUGGGGUAAAGGCUCACCAAGGCGACGAUCCGUAGCUGGUUUGAGAGGACGACCAGCCACACUGGGACUGAGACACGGCCCAGACUCCUACGGGAGGCAGCAGUGGGGAAUUUUGGACAAUGGGGGCAACCCUGAUCCAGCCAUCCCGCGUGUGCGAUGAAGGCCUUCGGGUUGUAAAGCACUUUUGGCAGGAAAGAAACGGCCUUGGAUAAUACCUGAGGCAACUGACGGUACCUGCAGAAUAAGCACCGGCUAACUACGUGCCAGCAGCCGCGGUAAUACGUAGGGUGCAAGCGUUAAUCGGAAUUACUGGGCGUAAAGCGUGCGCAGGCGGUUCGGAAAGAAAGAUGUGAAAUCCCAG